rnacentral:rRNA from 1 species
UACAUGGGGUGCAAACGUUGUUCGGAAUUACUGGGCGUAAAGGGCGCGUAGGCGGCCCGCUAAGUCGAACGUGAAAUCCCCGGGCUCAACCCGGGAACUGCGUCCGAUACUGGUGGGCUCGAAUCCGGGAGAGGGAUGCGGAAUUCCAGGUGUAGCGGUGAAAUGCGUAGAUAUCUGGAGGAACACCGGUGGCGAAGGCGGCAUCCUGGACCGGUAUUGACGCUGAGGAGCGAAAGCCAGGGGAGCAAACGGG